CUUGUACUUUGUACGACACACUAUUGUUUCGGAGGAAAUCCCAUGGGCUGUCACCUCAUGACAGGAAAAGUAAUUUUGUGAUUCCGAAGGGUCAUAAUAAUAUUUACUUUACACUUCAUUUUAUGUGACAUGUUCCCCAAGUAAUUUCCUCAUCUUUAUUAUAUGGCACGCGGUCUCGUGACUAAAAUGGCGUGCACUGAUUGGUUCUUUACCGGUCUGGAAUCCCCCAGUAUUAGGCCGUUGCCGUAGUAACGGUCCAACUCUCAUAUUGGCGUCAGCUGCUUUUCCCUGUCUUUACUCUGUCUUAUGUCAGAUGAUUUUACUCAUCAGUGGAAGAAUACUGUCAGUUAAUAAGUUAACAAAACUAUCUGUCAGAUAACAAAACUAUCUUGUCAAGCUAACCCAUUAGCUUGCAAUGCACCCAGAUGUGACCUACUUUAGUAUUUUACUCUGUUUAAGUCAAGUUGAAUAUUUUCGCGGUGCAAUAAUAUUCCAAUCUAAAUGAGUUUUCAUCAACACACAAAUGGUUCAGGAUAUCUUUUGGUUGAUCUACAGCUGUGGUGAAUAAGAAAAACGCAACUUCAAAGUGUUUAUGAAACUCACUUUCGUUUUGAUCACAAAAGAUCGUAUAGCGUAUCAAAAUAUGCAUAAAUAUUAAGCGUUGCGCUUUUUUAAACAUCCUGUAUGUGCGGUCAUUAUAUCGAUGAAAAGCCAUUUCAAGCUAGAAGAUUAAAUUUUAGCAGAUCAAAGAUGUUUGGAGUUGUUAAUUUCGUUGUUAUAUUCCUAGUCUUUGCAGGUACUGGAAUACAUAUUGUGAUAUAUAUCUUUGUUCAUAGAAUUCUCAAGUGUCACUUCGUUUAUUCUUCAUCGUAUUUUUCUGUAUUUAUUUUUUUAGAUAAUGCGGUUGAAUGUUUUAAACUUGGUCAGCUUUGCAGCUCAAAUGGUAGAAAUUUAAUCCGUGGAUGUGACAGUCAGGGUUGUGGUGAUUUCGGAACACCAAGAGGUUCUCGUACACACAAUUGUGUCGACAUAAUUUGCAAACCAGGGAGUUCUGUCAUGACACCAUUUGCUGCGAAGAUUUGACGAAAAUCACGUUCUUAUUCAAACAACAACAAACCAUAUAACAAUGGAUUGUAUAUUCAAGGAACCGGAGAAGCCGAAGAUAUAAAAUGGAUAUUUCAGGUGGUCUUGGAAGAUCUGCUGGAAAGAUAUGGCGUGUUGGUCUGAUGGGGUUGAACAGUACAAAAGAUAAUGUAAAUCUUGUACUAAAAGCCUUCAAGAAUGCGAUGGAAAACGUGAAAUUACAAAACAAUGUG